CAGCCGCCGCGGUAAUACGGAGGGAGCUAGCGUUGUUCGGAAUUACUGGGCGUAAAGCGCACGUAGGCGGCCAUUCAAGUCAGAGGUGAAAGCCCGGAGCUCAACUUCGGAACUGCCUUUGAAACUAGAUGGCUGGAAUCUUGGAGAGGUCAGUGGAAUUCCGAGUGUAGAGGUGAAAUUCGUAGAUAUUCGGAAGAACACCAGUGGCGAAGGCGACUGACUGGACAAGUAUUGACGCUGAGGUGCGAAAGCGUGGGGAGCAAACAGGAUUAGAUACCCCGGUAGUCCCUGUCUCUUAUAC
rnacentral:rRNA from 1 species